UACGUAGGUGGCAAGCGUUGUCCGGAAUUAUUGGGCGUAAAGCGCGCGCAGGCGGUCUUUUAAGUCUGAUGUGAAAGCCCCCGGCUCAACCGGGGAGGGUCAUUGGAAACUGGGAGAUUUGAGUGCAGAAGAGAAGAGUGGAAUUCCACGUGUAGCGGUGAAAUGCGUAGAGAUGUGGAGGAACACCAGUGGCGAAGGCGACUCUUUGGUCUGUAACUGACGCUGAGGCGCGAAAGCGUGGGGAGCAAACAGG
rnacentral:rRNA from 1 species